ensembl:snRNA U6 U6 spliceosomal RNA
GUGUUUGCUUCAGUACCACAUAUAUUAAAAUUGAAACAAUACAGAGAUAAGCACAAAGAUGACACACAAAUUCAUGAGGCAUUCCAUAUUUAA